rnacentral:rRNA from 1 species
GUGUCAGCCGCCGCGGUAAUACGGAGGGUGCGAGCGUUGUCCGGAAUCAUUGGGUGUAAAGGGUGCGUAGGCGGGUUGCUAAGUCUGGGGUGAAAUCCUGCCGCUUAACGGUAGAAUGGCCCCCGAUACUGGCAGUCUUGAGUACAGAAGAGGUCGGUGGAAUUCGUAGUGUAGCGGUGAAAUGCAUAGAUAUUACGAAGAACACCAGUGGCGAAGGCGGCCGGCUGGUCUGUAACUGACGCUGAGGCACGAAAGCGUGGGGAGCGAACAGGAUUAGAUACCCUGGUAGUCCACGCUGUAAACGAUGUAUGCUAGGUGUCGGCCUUUCGGGGUCGGUGCUGCAGUUAACGCAGUAAGCAUACCACCUGGGGAGUACGUCGGCAACGAUGAAACUCAAAGGAAUUGACGGGG